rnacentral:lncRNA from 1 species
UGUCUCGCCUUCUUUACUAAUUAUUGAUAUUAUGUUGAUAGUCCUAAGUAUAAAGCUUUAUUAAAAACUGUCACAUAAACUUAGCAUUAACCAAGACAAAGACCAAUGAACCAUGAAAAUGAGGUCAAGGUCAGAUGAACCAUGCCAGGCAGACAUGUACAGCUAACAAUGCUUCCAUACAACAAAUAUAGUUGACCUAUUACUUAUAGUUUAAGAAAAAUAGACCAAAACACAAAAACUUAACACUGAGCAAUGAACCGUGAAAAUGAGGUCGAGGUCA